rnacentral:rRNA from 1 species
GAUGAACGCUAGCGACAGGCUUAACACAUGCAAGUCGAGGGGCAUCACGGGUAGCAAUAUCUGGUGGCGACCGGCGAACGGGUGAGUAACGCGUAUGCAACCUACUUGUAAACGGGAGACAACCUGGAGAAAUUUGGGCUAAACUUCCAUGAGGCAUUAUUACUGCAUGGUAAUGAUGUCAAACGUAAGGUUUACAAAUGGGCAUGCGUAUGAUUAGCUAGUUGGUAGGGUAAUAGCCUACCAAGGCGACGAUCAUUAGGGGUUCUGAGAGGAAGGUCCCCCACAUUGGAACUGAGAUACGGUCCAAACUCCUACGGGAGGCAGCAGUGAGGAAUAUUGGGCAAUGGUCGAAAGACUGACCCAGCCAUGCCGCGUGCAGGAUGAAGGCCCUAUGGGUUGUAAACUGCUUUUAGCCGGGAAUAAACACCCGUUUUAUAACGGGCCCGAAGGUACCGGCUGAAUAAGCAUCGGCUAACUCCGUG